CAAUAGCGUAUAUUAAAGUUGUUGCAGUUAAAAAGCUCGUAGUUGGAUUUCUGGUGGGAGCGAUCGGUCUGGCGCUUAGCGCGAGUACUUGCAUCGUCUCCGGCCAUCCUUGGGGAGAGUCUGUCUGGCAUUAGGUUGUCGGGCAGAGGAUCCUCAUCGUUUACUGUAAAAAAUUAGAGUGUUCAAAGCAGGCUUAUGCCGUUGAAUAUAUUAGCAUGGAAUAAUAAGAUAGGACUUUGGUACUAUUUUGUUGGUUUGCGCACCAAAGUAAUGAUUAAUAGGGACAGUUGGGGGUAUUCGUAUUCCGUUGUCAGAGGUGAAAUUCUUGGAUUUACGGAAGACGAACUACUGCGAAAGCAUUUACCAAGGAUGUUUUCAUUAA
rnacentral:rRNA from 1 species